rnacentral:rRNA from 1 species
AGGACGAACGCUGGCGGCGUGCUUAACACAUGCAAGUCAAGGGGGCCCAGCAAUGGGCAACCGGCGAACGGGUGCGUAACACGUGAGCAACCUACCGAACUGUGGGGGAUAGCCGGCCUAACGGCCGAGUAAUACCGCAUACGCUCUCAGCGAGGCAUUUCAUUGAGAGGAAACCUACGGGACAGAUCGAGGGGCUCGCGGCCUAUCAGCUAGUUGGCGAGGUAACGGCUCACCAAGGCAACGACGGGUAGC